rnacentral:rRNA from 1 species
CUUGGGUGACGAGUGGCGGACGGGUGAGUAAUGUCUGGGGAUCUGCCCGAUAGAGGGGGAUAACCACUGGAAACGGUGGCUAAUACCGCAUAACGUCGCAAGACCAAAGAGGGGGACCUUCGGGCCUCUCACUAUCGGAUGAACCCAGAUGGGAUUAGCUAGUAGGCGGGGUAAUGGCCCACCUAGGCGACGAUCCCUAGCUGGUCUGAGAGGAUGACCAGCCACACUGGAACUGAGACACGGUCCAGACUCCUACGGGAGGCAGCAGUGGGGAAUAUUGCACAAUGGGCGCAAGCCUGAUGCAGCCAUGCCGCGUGUAUGAAGAAGGCCUUCGGGUUGUAAAGUACUUUCAGCGGGGAGGAAGGCGAUGCGGUUAAUAACC